rnacentral:rRNA from 1 species
UACGGGGGGGGCAAGCGUUGUUCGGAAUUACUGGGCGUAAAGAGCGCGCAGGCGGUCGUUCAAGUCGAGUGUGAAAGCCCCCGGCUCAACUGGGGAGGGUCACUCGAUACUGAUCGACUUGAAGGCAGGAGAGGGAAGCGGAAUUCCCGGUGUAGUGGUGAAAUGCGUAGAUAUCGGGAGGAACACCAGUGGCGAAGGCGGCUUCCUGGCCUGUUCUUGACGCUGAGGCGCGAAAGCUAGGGGAGCAAACGGG